UACGGAGGAUCCAAGCGUUAUCCGGAAUUACUGGGCGUAAAGAGUUGCGUAGGUGGCAUCGUAAGCGGGUAGUGAAAGCGUGUGGCUCAACCAUACUCACAUUAUCCGAACUGCGAAGCUAGAGGACGAGAGAGGUUAUUGGAAUUCUUAGUGUAGGAGUGAAAUCCGUAGAUAUUAGGAGGAACACCAAUGGCGUAGGCAGAUAACUGGCUCGUUCCUGACACUAAGGCACGAAAGCGUGGGGAGCAAACGGG
rnacentral:rRNA from 1 species